CUUCAUCAUAAUUGCAUCAUCUGCAAAGAGCCUGUUUCCAAACAUGAUGGUUAAUACUGAGUGUCUACUUAAUUGGAUUGAAGGAUGCAAAGUAUUGCUCCUGGAUGUGUCUGUGAGGGUGUUGCCAAAGGAGAUUAACAUGUGGGUCAGUGGACUGGGAGAGGCAGACCCACCCUCAAUCUGAGUGGGCACCAUCUAAUCAGCUGCCAGCCAGCCAGGACAAAAGCAGGCAGAGGAACAUGGAAGGACUGGACUUACUGAGUCUUCUGGCCUCCAUCUUUCUCCAGUUCUGGAUGCUUCCUGCCCUCGAACAUCAGACUCCACAUUCUUCAGCUCUUUGACUCUUGAACAUACACCAGUGAUUUUCCAGGGACUCUCAGGCCUUUGGCCACAGACUGAAGGCUGCUCUGUCGGCUUCCCUACUUUUGAGGUUUUGGGACUCACACUGGCUUCCUUGCUCUUCAGCUUGUAGAUGGCCUAUUGAGGGACUUCGCCUUGUAAUCAGAAGCAUUACCUGCCCCAGAGGCUACCUGCCACUCAGUGAAGAUCAUAUGCCUAAGUCAUGACAUCAACAUCAAACUCUCUUCAAAUCUGGGAGAAAGGCUCAGCUCUUACAACCAGGACAAGAAGAAAUGACACCAGUAGAGAGAUCAUUUGGUGAGCAGCAGGGUUGAAAGAGCCUCAAACCAUGGAGAGAGAGCCUGGAUCUCGAGUAGAAAGGCUUCUGGCACUGAAGAAGUCAAACAGGAUCCCUGAGAGGGAAAAAGCCAGGAGCUUGGGGAAUUAUCUUCACCAAGGUCUGUCUAGAGAUGUGGUUGGCAGAUUUAUGACCCCCAAAGAUGUCUACAUCCUAAACCCAGGAAUCUGUUGCUAAGACUGAGUAAAACAAGAAAAGCAAUGGGGAACCUCACUCACAUCCAUGCUUCCUUGUCUCAUCUGUAUGUAUGAUUUUUGCACAACUUAUUUGAUACUUUGGACAUAAAGCAAGAAUUUUCAAAACAAUCCUAGCACCUAUGGGGCAUCGUGGUCAUCCAAGCCCUAAGAAGGCUGCUGUCCAUCCAGUCAAGGCUAUCGGAGGGUGUCUGAGGUGUCCUCUCCCUCCUUAUCUGCACCCCUUCCCCUUCCUGCCUUCUCAGCCAGCAGCAGCAUUGCUUCAUUGAGGAAACCUGCACAACACACAAGCAACUAAGAGGCUUCUGGAUUUCAAAAGCCUGAGUUUUGAAGAUCUCAGCCUCCAGCAUUUAUGUCAUAAACAAAAUAUUUGGACCAUUGAUGGAGAGACUUUUACCCUCAGGCUAGAUUAAGAUUCACUAAUCAAGAGAAAGAAAAGAAGCAAAUCGGACCUGAAGAAGGUAGCUGAACCUUGAAGAGGGGAAUAACAGAAACUCAAGGUCAGGUGGAAAAAUCCAAGAGUACUUUACUGAGUUGUGAUGAGGAGACUCAUAGAAGCUUCACAUUUCUCUGACUGGGGCCAACAGGUCCUCCUCCCACACUCUGGACAGCCAGAUUCCUAUUUGGCAUUAAUCUGUGUGUUCCACAGUCCGCUUCUACAGCCUCAGGAAACCUCCCGUCAACACUGGGACCUCGGUAUGGGGCAAAUUUCAGGAGGAAAAGAAUAAAAGGAAUAAAAGUUAAGUCCUCCAGUAUUUUUUGGCAGAAAGGUGAGGAGCAAAGUUCCAAUGACUCAGGAUCAGUGAUAGAAGUUGUUGGUCCAUGGGGAAAAGAAUUGGGCAUCUCCAGCUCUGUGAUCUUUCUUCCAGGCCCUUGACCUGCCACCAGCAUUUUACAUACCCACGCAUACACACACAAUUAUAUUCCCCAAAAAUACUCCCCAAAGAGGAUUUCCAGAGUGCUUUUAGAUCCUUUGACAUUUCCAACCUCUCCUCCAGUGAUUUAAAAAAAAAAUCUUCACUAGAAUCAUAAUGUCUCUGGUAUUUCUUUUCAAGAAAUUCCAAUCACAUAAUUGAACAGGGUUGAGUUGUAGGAGAGGGUUAAGAAGAACAGGCUCUCUGAGUGACAGUCACACUCAGGCGCCAUCUGGCUGCAACCCACUGUAUCAACAGCCAAACCAUGAGGUCCACACAGGUUACACUGGCGGGUACGCAGAGGCAGGGACAUCUAUCUAGUAGCAAGGCGCCUCACUGUGCAGAUCUGGGCACAUAGCUUCAUCGGAAUUCCUCCCACACCAGCCUCAAACAAGCUGCCCUUUACUGAGUGAGGUUUUCAGGGGAUGCAGGUAGGAAAAGAUUAAACAGUGAAUAACUUUAUUUAUUAUUCCUAACCCAUAGCCAUCUCGGAGGGCUGGAAUAGCUCCCUGGCUCCCUGGGUCUCAGAGAUGCCUAUAGGUCUAGGCUGUGGGUACGCCUGUGGUUUGGGGUUUGUUCUGCUUUCAUUGUGAGCCAAACCUCCAACAAUCCCUACACCCUGGGUGGUUACUAUUGAUUUUUUUUUUU
rnacentral:lncRNA from 10 species